CUUUGUUCUGUUAUUUACUUCAGUUGUGUGAAGAGUCCACAAGACACACAUGGCAGGCCCUGCCUGCUAUAAUUGGUCAGAAACUUCUAUAAUGUCUUUCAUUCAUCUGAGAGAAGUUGUGUGACAGCUGGGCUUUGGACAAAUCUUGGAGACCAACAUGGUCCUUACAGGACCAUUUAACCACCCUGGACAGCUUAGGAGGCAAAUUCUCAAGAUACAUCUCUGCAUCGCAAUCCAGCAUAGCUACCUCUGCCGUCCCCAAGCUGUUCCAGAUGGCUGGAGGACCACCCCAAAAAACAAACAGCCCCAUAUAUUGAAUGUUGCAGCAGUAGAGCCUUAGAAGAUCUGAUUCACUACCACAUGUGACAACUGUCGAAGUUCAACUACCAGAAUUAUCUUUCUCUGACCAACCUCUCAGGAAGAACUGUUUUUUCAAUCAUUUGCUGUUGUGACCACACUAAUUAUCACGGCUGAAAGCACAUAGUAAGAGACCAUCCUUCCCCAAAGUGAAACUGGACAUCUUACCAAAAUAUUGACAGCCAAGAAACUCAUUUUCCUGCAAUUGUGCUUAUGACUGACCUGGUAGUAAAAGCACAUGUAACUCUAGGUGUGGUGCUGCAAAUCACCAUUGAGCAAGGAAAUUGUAACCAACAGAAUGACUAAGCUGACAUGAAUGUGGUCCUGGUCCUGGUGACAUCCCUUCAGAAUAAUUGCCACAGGGUGAGGAGAAAGCAGGAAAAUCAUCCUCUAAAUUACAUGAACAGAAGACCAAUACCAUUCAGGAAACCCAGCUGGGAAAGCAAUAUUUAAAUGAACUGAAUGAGCCAUGCAAGGAGAAAAGUGAAGCACAGGAUGAGGAAUCUGAUCCAGACUGGUUGGGUGCAGACAUGGGAACACACCGCAGAUCAUCAGCAUACAAUGAGAGGAUGUGCUUGGUAGCACACCUUGGCCCUGAUCCUGCCUGUCCAGAUGAGGAUCCAGGCCAGCUGUACCGAGAUUCCUUCCCAGCUCAGGAAUUUGGAUUUCCUCCCUGAGGAAAGCAAAGCAUAAGGGAUGAUAAUCUACUCUCUGCAUCUCAACUCCACAUGGUAUCUGGGACCAGAUAAGGGAGUACAAGAUCAGAACUCAGAAGCACUUAUGAGUUGAUCAGCAUAGAUACAGACCAUGUAAGCUGCAACCACGGGAGUGGCAUAUUCCCAGCUUGUUCAGUCUAAACUGAUGUUUAGCUUAGAUUAAGAAAGAAGCCAUAAAAUAUAAUAACAACAAGUUCAAAUUCACCAGGAUGACAAAUAAAGAGAAAACAGAGUGAAAGAGUUGACAUGUGAAAGCAUCGAUAGCAAAAUAUCUGCUGUCCCUGAAGAGACAGAAGGAAUCUCCAGUUCUUGGGUACUGUCUGAAGCAUUUUUGCUUAUGAAGAACAUAAAUAAAUUAAAUCCUAAAUGUGACUAACAUUCUUUAGCAAAGCAGAGGAAGAUGUUAAUUGUGAGAAGAAACACGCCUUUCCUUCAGGCUGGGUUUUCAGGUCCAUUUGCAUAACCAUCAUUCACCAGCUUGCACCCCUAAACUCUCUUAACAUAUUUUUGUAUCUAGAUAAGAUUUCAGUAGGACAAGCUAGCCCACAGCAUUACAGUACCUUGUCAGGGCUAAGCAUUGUAUGGAAAUUGUAUGUCUGUUGCAGUUCCAGAGCUGGCUGUGUCAGUACAAUCUGUAUUGUGUGUGCUGGGGAAGAUGAAUGAUCUGGUGCAAUAAAGUUGUUUUAGCACCACCAGAGUUUUACCCUGUGAGAGCAUGUGGAGGUGUAAGAAAAAUGCAUUAAAUUGGACAGCUCCACCAGGUAUUUGUUUAACACAUUGUCGUUAUCUCAUUUGUUUUGAAAGAAAUCUGUACUGAUGUCAAAAAACCCUUUGGGACUAAUAGCUGGGUAGCAAUUUAUCUGCAGGACACUCACAGUGUGUCAGGCUGUCUUUGCCUGCAAACAAAUGACAUCUUAUAGUUGCCCUGCCAUUUGGAUAAUGUCAGCGUCCAUAUGGACUGUACCAGCUUUGCCA